CAUCAUCUCAUCAGUCAUCAUUAUGUAAGAUCAAGCAAAAUUCACAUAAUACAAAAUGAGAGUUUCUCCUUCUUGAUGAGUUGCAUAUUCUGAAUUCUGCAAAAUCCUUUACUGGUUGUUAGUUGUCUCUUAGCUUGCCCGCCUUCGCCAGCCGAAAAGUUGAAGACGGUAAAGAGAAGGAAUUAAGCAAGCAAAGUUAUGUCUCGUGCUAAGGCUGCUGCGGCUGGGUACCGGUUUCUUUCCGCUCAAAACCACAAGGUUAGGAUGAGGAUAGCUGACCGUUCCGAAAGGGGAACGGUCGUGAUCAAUGCCAACCCAGAGGACAAGGAGGUUGUCCAUACCCUGUACAAUCCCCAGGUUUUGGACGCCGUGGUGGACAAGGUGUCUCGCGGUUUGGUGUUGACGUCGGCCUUUACUACGGCAUUUGAGGGUCUCACCAUUGCCGGUUUGGCUGCCGGCAAAGGCCCCGCUGCUGCCACUACCGAGCUGUUGGACCGUGUCUUACCAGAUACCCCCGAGAGGACUUUGACCUUAGCCUCUCAGCUGAGGGAUCUAGCCAGGUCCAACUUGGAGAAGACUAAGAACAUCCGUCGUCGCCGCUCUUCUGGUGACCGUCCUGCCGGAAAAGGACCGUGUCCUGCCGCCGAGCGCAACGCAACGGCAACGACAGCAACGGACGACAACGGCAAUGACAGCAACGGCAUCGGCAACAAUGGCUUUGACGACAUCGACGUCUGGUGGAUGUGAGCUAGGUGAGUAAAAUGAAAAUGUUAGUAGUGUGAUAUAAAUUGUAGUUAACAAGUCAAAUAGCCCAAUCAGAGAGACAAAUAUCACAAUUGGAUUAUCUUCUCAUCAAAAAUGUAUUGUGGCAUAUUUUACCUAGAUUUGUUUGAUGAUGUUUUUUUCCCCUUGAUUUCCAAAUUAAUUUAGUAUUUGAAUCUUGCGAAAUUUAUUAUGGAAAAUGAGGUUUGUUCUUAGAACUUAUUUUGUACUUAUCUGAAGAUAUUUUAGC